rnacentral:lncRNA from 1 species
UGCACCCACUCUCGGCACGGCGGUGAGCUCCUCCUCCUAACUCGGCUACUCCCUUCAACCGCCGCGUCGGCUCCGCUCCGGCCGCCGACCCCUUCUGCACCGUUGGGUUCGGGGGGUUGCCGGGUUGGGGGAAGGCGGCUCCUCCUCGCCGGCGCUGCUCGGUUCGAUUCGGAGGGGGAGGAGACCAGCCGCGAGCACUGUAGUGGCGAUGUGACGCCCCUUCCCUUACCAGUAACCAGUACUCACUUUGUGCCUCUGUUUAUCUAUUAUUCAGUUUCACUAGAUGUUAAUUUGAGAGGUAGGGCGCUAGGCCUGUAAAAUUUUACCCAAUAAGGUCAGUUGAUAUUUUUUUUAUUCACUUCAUGUAGUGAUUAACCCUAACACGAUCCUAGUUGAUGGCUGGGCAUGGGCAGAACUGCACAAGUAGUGCUUGGAGUUGGCAAGGGAAUUUUAUAGAGGGAUUCUGCGAAAUCGAGUGAAAGGAAUAGUUAUGUUUGCAUCGUACUUUGAUUGGUACAAUCGGCUCUCUCUUCAAAGUUUUUAUCGAUUAUUACCCCCUUAUUGCAGUGCCUCACUUGGUCAUAGCUAUCUUUUGUUCAUUUAUUAGAUAAGUGAUGUCCCAGCAUUGUCGUUUCAGACAUUCUGUAAGUAUUCCACUGUCUACCUCUCCAAUACACAAUCACUUGAUUUUGAGUUCUCUAUGGUUCCCGGCAGUUGACUUCACAGAUCUAGUAGUGCUAUGCUUUACACUUACAGCUGCUGUGCAAUAGAUUUUUGUUUUGGCUCCUACUAUUGUGAACUCAACGAAAUAGUUUCCAUCAAAUAGAAAGUGAAAUACAGGGGUCAAAUAAUUUCAAGGGAAAUAAAAGAUAUUGGAGUUCAGUACUUUUUGCAGUAACAAUAACCUGUCAGGGUUGCAUGACAGAAGUCAUAUUCCCUGAAGGGCUGAAUGGGGAGAUGAAUCUUCCCUGAUUUUCAUAUACUCUUAGGCUUUAUAAUAAUGAUAGCCUCUGAAUAAACCCUUCAAAAUGUUAAGUUUGACUAGGAUAGUGAUUGACAGCAUCGAUGUAAGUGAAUGAUUAUUUUGUUUUUGAACAAUCUUUCAUGCAUCACAUCCAGCUUGCACUGUCAUCAUGUAAACGUUAUUUAGGUCAGUAGUCAAGUUGUUAAGGGCAUGUAAGUUUGUUUCAUUAUUGUUUAAAGUAGGCUUUAGCAUAUACUGCAAGUUAUGUCUGGUGAAGCAAUAAUAAUUUAUUUGAUGUGACGUGUGUAAAAUAUGAUAAGGAGGAUUACCGUGUGAAACUCAAGCUAACAUAGUUUUUUCAGUUUGUUUUAUACUUUAUAUGUGGGACCCAAACUAGUAAUAUUGAACUUAUUUCUACAUGCUUCAAUACAUAACAACUCUAUACAACAAUGACUUCCAUAUAUUUAUUAUUCAUUUGUAAGCCAGUUAGUCCUAAAAGAAACAAGGAAAUAUGUGGAGCUAUUUUGAUCACUGAUUCCUCUGAUUCUGUUCUUUUUCCUUUUUUUCUUUACCCCCUGUGGGUAAUUAUAUAUAUAAGAAUUGAUGAUAUGUGAUUCGAUGACUUAUUUGGAAUAAUCCUUUGAGUUUCAUCUGUUCUAUUGAUAUCUAUACUACAUCAGUUUCUGUCCAAAUGUUUAUUUCAGGUGAAGAAUCUUACACUGGCAUUUGCUGUUCGAGUAGCUGCGUGACUCUUAUCAGAACUCCGGCAUAUCAAUUGAUGAGGCCCAACUUGGUGAGAAUCUUCCUAUUUUGGGCUAUGCGGUGAUAAUCUAAAGAUUUCCUUUAAUGGUUAAUAUGUAAGCGGCAGACUCCUUAUCUAACUUCUAGUUUACAAUAUCUCUAUCAAAGUUGUGGCAAUUGUAAGUAUGGUCUGUGAAAAUGACCCCUCAAAGGCCAACCCACUUGUAUGGCUGGAAAGUUACAGGAAUUUUUAUGCUCAUAUGUUCCUAUCAGUCAACAGUAACGUUU